UGAGCUUCGUUCUUCCCAACCAUGUAUCCAGCUGAAAGAGUUGCCCUAGUAUUCCCCAGAAACGCUAAUAUGAUCCCCACUUACAUUGUCUAGAUCCGUAACAAAUUAUAGUAAUCUGAGGCAAUUCUUCCCAGGCAUGAGGCAGCAUUGGUUGAAGUGUUCCACACCCCAAAAUCGGAGAUACAAUGAAAAUAAGAUUGGAUGAACAAUAAAUUGGAGAUGCAUGAUUUGCUUCAAGAAAUGGGCAGGGAUGUUGUAUUUCAAGAAUCUCUACGUAAUCCUGGCCGGCAUAGUAGGUUAUGGUCCCAAAAGGACAUUGAUCAUAUGUUUCCAAAAAAUAAGGAACUGAUGAAAUUCAAGGAAUAGUUCUGAAAUUAGUUCCACCAAAUGAAGCAUGCUGGAGCACUGAAGCCUUCUCCGCGAUAAGUCAGGUAGGAUAACUCAAGCUAUGUGACAUACAACUUCCUAGUGCACAAAAAGUUAUUGAAGAUUAUGUUAGAUAGGAUACGAAGAUAACAAACUUUAUAGGAUAAGUUUAAAUUUGUAUUAUAGUUGCUUAUGAGAUAACAAACUCUAGAUAGGAUAAGUUUGUUUUCUGUUUUUAUUCUUUAUCAUUUUGUAGCUACGUUAGUUUGUGUA